rnacentral:tRNA from 1 species
GCCCUUGUAGUUCAACGGAUAGAACGGAAGUUUCCUAAACUUUAAAUAGCGGUUCGAUUCCGCUCAGGGGUA